GAAAUGGCUGCCUUGUUGCUUCCCUGCAUGAGCCCCACUCUUCAGCUGUUCUUGGUGGAUUACUGGAUUGCUGAUCAGCGGAUUACCUUGCUGUUGCUGCUCAGCCUGAUUGCUCUAGAUAUUGGAUUGUAAUUCACAUCUACAAGGACUUUUUCAAACUCUCCUGGAGGAAUUUAAGAACUUUUGGAAAUAAUUCACACUCCUUUGGAGGAAUUGGAGAAAUGCGUUUGGAGGAAGUAAUGAAGAAUUCCAUACACCAGGGAGAAGUGAUUUAAAUUUAGCAGCUGUGAAGUUUAUCACAAUUGUAUUACAUAAUUGUUCAUGUACUUCUGAUGAAGCUUACUGUGAAAUGAGGAUAUAUCGCGAAACCUUGUCAAAAUGAAGUGAUUAAUGAAGUGAUAUUUGAUAUUUAUAUUGGUCACUUUUAAAAAAAUUUUUGUUCAUGCUUUA